rnacentral:rRNA from 1 species
AGCAAGCGGACCUCAUAAAGUGCGUCGUAGUCCGGAUUGGAGUCUGCAACUCGACUCCAUGAAGUCGGAAUCGCUAGUAAUCGUGGAUCAGAAUGCCACGGUGAAUACGUUCCCGGGCCUUGUACACACCGCCCGUCACACCAUGGGAGUGGGUUGCAAAAGAAGUAGGUAGCUUAACCUUCGGGAGGGCGCUUACCACUUUGUGAUUCAUGACUGGGGUGAAGUCGUAACAAGGUAACCGUAGGGGAACCUGCGGUUGGA